rnacentral:snRNA from 1 species
GAAAGUGAGGGUUAUUUGUCUGUGACAUCUGUCACUCCAUCACCUGCCAGGCAGAUUUAGCUGAUGUGGCUAAGUGGUGUCUCCUUUCUCCCUCACUGCUCCAGGUACUUCAGUUCCAAAGCUGCAUGAUCAGUUGAUAAGGAUGAAUUUUCCCCACAGAGGAGGACAGUCUUUUUUUUUUA